GGUUAUUUUACAUAUAAACAUGGAAUAUAGAAAUAUUUUGCUUGCUGUUAAGGGAUACGAAAACCUAAAAAUUAUGCGAAUUUACAUAAAUAUAAAAUGUCUACUUUUUUUAUUGAAAAGGUUUCAAAUUACGGCUGGGUACAGAAAGGCAAAAGAGGUCAUCACAUGCAAGAGACAAUACAUUGUCAUGACUAUACAUCACAUAAGACUACUUUAAUUGUAGUGUAUCUCGGAUAGGUAGGGCAAUUUAUAUUCAUAUUAAAAUCUGUUUAUCCCCAUUCAUAUCAGUUCAGAAAUCUCAGCACAUAUUUCUCCAAUAAUUUGAAAAUGUGAAAUGGUUAGAUUACUGAUUACACAGUGUUUUGCAUCCACAAUUUCCAACAUUUAUCGAUGCUUGAUGUCAUGACUGGGAUGAGAUGGUACAAUGGGAAAUUUUCAUGAGAAAGAGCUGAGUAGUAAAGGAAAGUUGAAAAUUAAGCAUAUUAUUAGAAAAGCUGUAAUUUGGUGAUUGAUCAAUACCAUGUGUGUAAGUAACCUUGUACCUAAGUCAAUUUGUCACUGGCUGUAUAUGGGACAGCCAUGGGUAUAUUUUGAUAGCCUGUAUUGGGGGAGGUACCAAUGAAAAUAAUUUUUUCGAUGUAAUUUUGUUUGACUGAAUUUCAUAACUCCCUAGAUGACUAUGAGAAAUUUGUGUACUUACAGUUUCUUCUACAACUUAAUCUAAAUAAACCAGAUCAAAUCAGAUAUUCAACUGAUCCUC